CAGAGCAGUUGCCAAGUGAUCUUCUUCACAGCACCCAUGAACUUCAGCCUUGAACUGAAGAGGACCCAUCAAAUGCCUUAGGAGAGACAGCAUGAAAUUGGAAGAGAAGCAGGGAUCUUCAUGAAGGGCAGUCAACUGCAGGCUUGGUGUGUGGAGGAACAGGUCCUGUUCUUGCUGUUGUUACUCCCACAUAGGCGGACUCUGUAACUGAUUAUGUGUGGGUAGGGCCCUAUUGAAAUUAAGGAGAUUCUGCAGUAGUGCAGGGUUCUUUUUGUGAAAGUUCAGUUGCAAGAUCAGGACCCCACUGUGACUCCUUACUGUGAAUUCUGUCAGUGUAUCAUUGACUGUGCUGGAACCUGCCUUUUGGGAUAAUGUAAGUCCUGCUUCUACCCCAAAUGUACUUUAGACAUUAAAUAAUCAUAAAACAUUUCUAAUUAGAAAAUUAAUAUAAUUUACAUGCAUUCUUUUAAUUAUGUUUUUUUGGCAGUACCAAAUAAUAUAUUCCUCAAAACUUCUUAAUGGCACUGAGGCUUUGUGGAUAGUUGGUCACAUGAUGAGAAAAUUCAGCUGUAAGUACAUUGAAAUGAUUGAACUUUUCAAUAGUCUUUACUGUUGUUGACAAAGUAAUAAUGAUAAAAAGGUGAAGCAAGAGGUUUGACUUAUGCCAAUUGACUUCAGUUCUUUUUAAAAAAACUAU